UGGGGAAUUGUUCGCAAUGGGCGCAAGCCUGACGACGCAACGCCGCGUGGAGGAUGAAGACCUUCGGGUCGUAAACUCCUUUCGAUCGAGACGAAUGGCCCUUGGGUUAACAGCCCAGGGGUAUGACGGUACCGAGAGAAGAAGCCCCGGCUAACUCCGUGCCAGCAGCCGCGGUAAUACGGGGGGGGCAAGCGUUGUUCGGAAUUACUGGGCGUAAAGGGCUCGUAGGUGGCCAACUAAGUCAGACGUGAAAUCCCUCGGCUUAACCGGGGAACUGCGUCUGAUACUGGAUGGCUUGAGUUCGGGAGAGGGAUGCGGAAUUCCAGGUGUAGCGGUGAAAUGCGUAGAGAUCUGGAGGAACACCGGUGGCGAAGGCGGCAUCCUGGACCGACACUGACACUGAGGAGCGAAAGCCAGGGGAGCAAACGGG
rnacentral:rRNA from 1 species